rnacentral:misc_RNA from 1 species
GAUGAAGAACGCAGCGAAAUGCGAUAAGUAAUGUGAAUUGCAGAAUUCAGUGAAUCAUCGAAUCUUUGAACGCACAUUGCGCCCGCCAGUAUUCUGGCGGGCAUGCCUGUUCGAGCGUCAUUUCAACCAUCAAGCCCCCGGGCUUGCGUUGGGGCCCUGCGGCUGCCGCAGACCCCUAAAACCAGUGGCGGGCUCGCUGUCACACCGAGCGCAGUAGCAAUAUCUCGCUCUGGGCGUGGCGCGGGUGCUUGCCGUAAAACACACCACUUAACAAGGUUGACCUCGGAUCAGGUAGGAAUACCCGCUGAACUUAAGCAUAUCAAUAAGCUGAGGA